AACACAGUCUGUAAUAUUUAAAUCUUGAAAUUUAUUUUAUAGCCCAGCAUGUGAUCCAGCUUGAUGAACAUUCCAUGUGCACGUGACAAGAAUGGAUAUUCUGCUGUUGUUGGCUGUAGUGUUCUAUGUCAGCCAUCCCUGUGGGGGUGUCAGUGAUGCUUGGACUCCACUAACUGCACCAUUGUCCUACUCCAUCUCCUUUGAGCCUGCUGUCAACCUCUGCACACAUGGCCUCAGCCCCUAGCCCUGGAUGACCACCAUUAGACCCAGCAGAACGGCAGCAGUGGUUUGCUGGCCCAGCACCUAGAGCUGCAGAAUAUGCUCCCUUGACCCUCAGGGAAAGAUGCAGAGCUAGUGAGACUUACUCUCCUCCACCACCAAAGUGAAGGUGAGUUUACCCUCUCCCUCAUCCCAGGAUCCUCCCUGAAUGGGCCGGGAGCUGCUGCUGACACAUCUCAGGACCGCCAGCUUCAGCCCCGCUCCCAGUGCCUUGUUAACGGUGAGAGCACUAGCGGAAAGAAAGGCGGCACGUCAGGGCAAAAGCAGCUUCUGAGGGCGUCUCCAAGCCCAGCCCUGCCUCCUUGGCAGUGAGGUAUGCCCGCAACCUCCACUUUGCUCUUAGUACUGGGGCCAAAGUAUCCUGGGUGUAAAAUGGGGAUGAUCCUUUCCAUGCCACGGGGUCCUGAGGAUCAUACACAACAGUGCCCCUAAAGCGCCUGGCACAGCACCUGACCGGAGCACACGGGCAACACACAGGCAACAAACAGGAGCUGGAAGAGUUUCCUGUGGCUGCCAGAACAAAGACAUUUGUCAUUGGAUUUAGGGCCCACCCAGAAUCCAGGAGGGGCUCAUCUUCAGAUCCUUAAUGACAUCUACAAAGACCCUUUAUCUAAAUAGGUCAGAUUCACAGGUCCCGGCGGUUAGGACAUGGACAUACGUUUUUGAGGGCGCCAUUCAACCCGCAACGGGAGCCAUCACAUUCUCAUUUCUCCUUCCUUAAUGUUCUCACGGGCCCAGCACACAGGCCAGGAUGGAGCAUUCUUUGAGGUGUUCCUGGGAGCCCAGCAACAGACUGGGUGUUCAGUGUGCCCCUGUCGGUCUCCACGUGGGCCCUGCAAGAAGGAGCCACCCCCGUUUUACGGGGGGUUCAGGGCUUGUGGCCAGAUGUGCAGCUAGGCCUGGAUCAGGCUCCCGUCCGGCCCCAGUGCGUCUGCCGUGCCCGUGACCCCAGGCUGUGUCUCUCAGAAUCCGCCAAGAUUCCAGGGCAGGUAACUGCAGAGCUCCCCCGAGUCCUGUGCACGCCUCGGCUCACACUGCAGCUCAGCAGCAGCAACGCGGGUGACAGAAACCAGCUCUGUGUCUGUGAGCCUCUGCCUCACCUUCUGGGGGAUGGCACAGUAUUGCUCCAAGACAUGCAAACAGCUGCGGGCAGCAGAGACAGUGAGGCAACCCUGCCACACUCUCCAACCAUGCCCUCCUCAGGCAUGCGGAGAAAGCACCCCUUCAUCUGUGCAAGGAAUCCUCAAGCAGCAGACAAAAUUCAUGCACUGUUAAUUCAGAUGUUACAGUCACAUCCAGUGCUAAGGGCUGUCCUUUGAAAACAGCUGAGGUAGACACAUCUUCCAAGAACAAAUCAUAGAAAUGUUACCAGGCGAUUGUCUUCACAACCUCUGCAUCAGUGAUGGGGACUUGGGGGUAAGCUUUUGGUUGGCGUUGUGAACAGUGCCAGCUCCCUAAAGCAAGCUUGCUUUUCUGUUGUUUGAAAUACUGCAGGAGAACUGAAAUUCUCUUAAAAUAUACCGGUUUCUGGUUCAAGAGAAAUACUUUUUUGCACCAAUUUAAUUCAGGUUUCUAAAGCCGAGGCAGGGAUGGCAUCACAGUCUGUUGAAUGAAUUCCAGCUCAUUUGGGGCCUUUCCAUGACAAAUCAUUCCUAAUGGAAUCUCUCCAAAGCACAGGGGAAAAAAUCGAAGGCAUCAAAGUGCCCUUUCCAUUUCAAUAAACUCCACUGGCCAGGAUUCUGUUUGCAUAACACAGAAUAAACAUGGAACCCAGGCCUGCCCAGCACAUUUACUCCCUGGUUAGCACCUCUGUUCACCUGUUUUCUCUUUUAUAUGAGUGACCAUUUCCUAAAACGCAAUCAAUCAAUCACUGUCAAGUAAGAUCUUGAAAUUAUCACCAUGGAGAAAAGACAUGAAGAGUCUGCAUUAAGGUAACGUGACCGGUGCCUAGAGUGAGGAAGGAGCACGUUCAGAAUGGUCCCGGGUCAUUUUCAAGACCUUCCCCCCGUCACUGUUGGAUGAAGUAAGGAGCCGGACAUCAGUGUUUAUUAAACCAGAUUUAUUCUCCACAAGCUGAAGAUACCUGAGGUUACAUGAGGACUGGCAUUAAAUAAUUUAUAAAUGUAUUUUU
rnacentral:lncRNA from 1 species